rnacentral:rRNA from 1 species
UACGUAGGGUGCAAGCGUUAAUCGGAAUUACUGGGCGGAAAGCGUGCGCAGGCGGUUAUGCAAGACAGAUGUGAAAUCCCCGGGCUCAACCUGGGAACUGCAUUUGUGACUGCAUGGCUGGAGUGCGGCAGAGGGGGAUGGAAUUCCGCGUGUAGCAGUGAAAUGCGUAGAUAUGCGGAGGAACACCGAUGGCGAAGGCAAUCCCCUGGGCCUGCACUGACGCUCAUGCACGAAAGCGUGGGGAGCAAACAGG